CCUCCGUAGGUGAACCUGCGGAGGGAUCAUUACCGAGUUUACAACUCCCAAACCCCUGUGAACAUACCUAUAACGUUGCCUCGGCGGAUCAGCCCGCGCCCCGUAAAAAGGGACGGCCCGCCCGAGGACCCCUAAACUCUGUUUUUAGUGGAACUUCUGAGUAAAACAAACAAAUAAAUCAAAACUUUCAACAACGGAUCUCUUGGUUCUGGCAUCGAUGAAGAACGCAGCAAAAUGCGAUAAGUAAUGUGAAUUGCAGAAUUCAGUGAAUCAUCGAAUCUUUGAACGCACAUUGCGCCCGCCAGUAUUCUGGCGGGCAUGCCUGUUCGAGCGUCAUUUCAACCCUCAAGCUCAGCUUGGUGUUGGGACUCGCGGUAACCCGCGUUCCCCAAAUCGAUUGGCGGUCACGUCGAGCUUCCAUAGCGUAGUAAUCAUACACCUCGUUACUGGUAAUCGUCGCGGCCACGCCGUAAAACCCCAACUUCUGAAUGUUGACCUCGGAUCAGGUAGGAAUACCCGCUGAACUUAAGCAUAUCAAUAAGCGGAGGAA
rnacentral:rRNA from 1 species